AUACGUAGAGAGCAAGCGUUGUCCGGAAUUAUUGGGCGUAAAGGGUACGCAGGCGGAUAAGCAAGUCAAAUGUGAAAGGUGCCGGCUCAACCGGCAGACUGCGUUUGAAACUGUCUAUCUUGAGUAUGACAGAGGAGAGCGGAAUUCCUGGUGUAGCGGUGAAAUGCGUAGAUAUCAGGAAGAACACCAGUGGCGAAGGCGGCUCUCUGGGUCAAGACUGACGCUGAGGUACGAAAGCUGGGGGAGCGAACGGGAUUAGAUACCCCGGUAGUCCCAGCCGUAAACGAUGGACACUAGGUGUUGGAGGUUCGAUUCCUUCAGUGCCGGAGUUAACGCAUUAAGUGUCCCGCCUGGGGAUUACGGUCGCAAGACUGAA
rnacentral:rRNA from 1 species